rnacentral:tRNA from 1 species
GGCGUGGUGGCCAAGUGGUAAGGCGUUGGUCUCGUAAACCAAAGAUCAUGGGUUUGACCCCUCAUCCAUGCCU